rnacentral:rRNA from 1 species
GAUGAACGCUAGCUACAGGCUUAACACAUGCAAGUCGAGGGGCAGCGCAGUGUAGCAAUACAUGGGCGGCGACCGGCGCACGGGUGCGUAACGCGUAUCCAACCUUCCCGUUACUCAGGGAUAGCCUUCCGAAAGGGAGAUUAAUACCUGAUGGUGUUCAAAUUCCGCAUGUUAUUUGAACUAAAGAUUCAUCGGUAACGGAUGGGGAUGCGUGACAUUAGAUAGUAGGCGGGGUAACGGCCCACCUAGUCUACGAUGUCUAGGGGUUCUGGGAGGAAGGUCCCCCACACUGGAACUGAGACACGGUCCAGACUCCUACGGGAGGCAGCAGUGAGGAAUAUUGGUCAAUGGUCGGAAGACUGAACCAGCCAAGUAGCGUGAAGGAUGAAGGUUCUAUGGAUUGUAAACUUCUUUUAUACGGGAAUAAUAAGGUCUACGUGUAGACUGAUGGGAGUACCUUACGAAUAAGCAUCGGCUAACUCCGUGCCAGCCGCCGCAGUAAUAC